CUCAAUCUUUAUCUCAGUCUCUCACUCCUCCUAUCGACCUGCCCGCCGGAUCUUGUCAAUAAAUCCAACGCCGACGAUCAUUCCGAAGGGAAGAAGAUACAGGUGCUGGCUCUUCUGGUUAGAACUCAAAGGCUUACAACGACAACAAUGUCUUUUUAUGUCAUCCCCAGAAAGCUCUUUGUCUUGAUUAUGAGACUUUUAGUUCGACAAACCAACUGCUUGAUUUCCAUCACAGAAACACAUCACUUGUUUAUGAGGUCCUCAGCGCCAACCCUCUGAUCACGGAAACGAUUGUGCUCUGUCUGGCCCACACAAUUUUUAUGGUUUUAAUUAACGCCAUUCUUCAAAUAA